UGUUGACAGUCUCUCUCUAGUCAUGGUUUUAAAUGUUCUGAUAUCUUUACUGUAUUUGUUGACAGUCUCUCUCUAGUCAUGGUUUUAAAUGUUCUGAUAUCUUUGCUGUAUUUGUUGACAGUCUCUCUCUAGUCAUGGUUUUAAAUGUUCUGAUAUCUUUACUGUAUUUGUUGACAGUCUCUCUCUAGUCAUGGUUUUAAAUGUUCUGAUAUCUUUGCUGUAUUUGUUGACAGUCUCUCUCUAGUCAUGGUUUUAAAUGUUCUGAUAUCUUUGCUGUAUUUGUUGACAGUCUCUCUCUAGUCAUGGUUUUAAAUGUUCUGAUAUCUUUGCUGUAUUUGUUGACAGUCUCUCUCUAGUCAUGGUUUUAAAUGUUCUGAUAUCUUUACUGUAUUUGUUGACAGUCUCUCUAGUCAUGGUUUUAAAUGUUCUGAUAUCUUUGCUGUAUUUGUUGACAGUCUCUCUCUAGUCAUGGUUUUAAAUGUUCUGAUAUCUUUGCUGUAUUUGUUGACAGUCUCUCUCUAGUCAUGGUUUUAAAUGUUCUGAUAUCUUUGCUGUAUUUGUUGACAGUCUCUCUCUAGUCAUGGUUUUAAAUGUUCUGAUAUCUUUGCUGUAUUUGUUGACAGUCUCUCUCUAGUCAUGGUUUUAAAUGUUCUGAUAUCUUUGCUGUAUUUGUUGACAGUCUCUCUAGUCAUGGUUUUAAAUGU